UACGUAGGGUGCAAGCGUUUAAUCGGAAUUACUGGGCGUAAAGCGUGCGCAGGCGGUUUUGUAAGCCAGAUGUGAAAUCCCCGGGCUCAACCUGGGAAUGGCAUUUGGGACUGCAAGGCUUGAGUGCGGCAGAGGAGACUGGAAUUCCUGGUGUAGCAGUGAAAUGCGUAGAUAUCAGGAGGAAUACCGAUGGCGAAGGCAGGUCUCUGGGCUGACACUGACGCUCAUGCACGAAAGCGUGGGGAGCAAACAGG
rnacentral:rRNA from 1 species